CACAGGGUAGCUAGGGUCACCCGCUGACCUCCCAGGCCACAGUAGGCCCAGGCAGCCCCUAGGUUCUCGUCUGCCCACUAGGCUGGGUGCCCAGCGGAGCCACCCUGUCCUCAGGGGUGCUGCAGAAGAGGCUCUGUGUCAGGACCCCCAAGGACCUGGAGCCACAACGACCUUGUCACCAGGGCCCGUGGGCCCUUCUGGGUGAGCAGCAGGUCCAGCGUCAGCCUGCAGGACGGAGUCUGGGUCCCGAGCGCAGGGGCCCCUCACUGCCUGUACUGGAAGGCGAUCUCAGCAAUCAGCUUCCUGCGCUGGCGGUACACCUGGUCCGAGAAGCCCUGAGGGCAGAGGGGAUGCACGGGGGACCUUCCUUCUGCCCCGCCCCCGCCCCACAGGUCCCCAGCAGCGGCACCUUUCUGCGUGUGUGUGACCGAUUCGUUCACGUCGACUCCUCCCCUGGACAGAGGCUUCUGGAAAACUAAAGUUGGCCCCUUGGUUCCCCCCUUGCCAGGCAGGGCUGGCCCUCAGAGCCUGGUGGAUGAACAGACCAGGAGGGAAGUUUGGGAACACCCGGCUCAGAGAUGAGAAGAGAGGGUGGAUCAGCCGCCACAUGGCAAAGCCAUGGGCCAGCUCUCCCUGCCACGGCCAGUGGACCCGGGACUUGGGUUCUCCAGCAUGGGCCCAGGCGGCUCGGAGCAGGGGCUGCUUCCCUCCGGCCCUUUCCCCGAAGCCCGCUCCCUUCUCCACCCCCGUCCCUGCCCACUCCCCGCAGGCCGGGGUGCACUUGGAGCCCCGAGGACCUCCGAGGCUGUCGCCACCCUCCUCUGUUCUGACUGCUUUCUAUUACUGGGCUUGUAAAAUGAUUAUUGUUUUGCUGUGGUAAGAUGUACAUAAUAUAAGAUUUACCUGUUUUUUUUGUUUGUUUGUUUGUUUUCGUUUUUGAUUUUUUUUUUUUGAGGCAGGGUUUCAGUCUGUCCCCCAGGCUGCAGUGCAGUGGCACAAUUUUGGCUUACUGCAGCCUCGAACACCUGGGUUCAAGCAAUCCCCCCACCUCAGCCCCCCAAGUAGCUGGGACUAUAAGCAGGUGCCACCACAUCCGGCUUUUUUGUAGAGAUGAGGUUUCUCUGUGUUGCCCAUGCUGGUCUUGAACCCUGGCACUCAAGUGACCCUCACACCUCCCAGCACCUCAGCCUCCUAGAGUGCUAGGCUUGCAGGCGUGAGCCACUGCGCCUGGCUAAAUUUU
rnacentral:lncRNA from 1 species